UUUAAAAUAUCUUAGCUUAUAUUUAAAAUAAUCUGUAAUUUUAGGAAUUCAAAUGGUUAAACAACUUUGUUAGGUUAAUUUUGUAAUAACCAUUUAAAGUACCAUGUAUAAAAUUAUAAUAGCUGUAAUUUGAUACCAAAAGGUGAGAAAAAAAAUAAUUUUGACAAUACUUAUACAUAUUGUAGAACCGUCGUCUUAAGUGAAUAAACAAAUAAUGUGUGUAUUGUUAAACAUUAAACCAACAAAUUAAUAAAAAAUGUUUAACAAACUUUGAAGAUAAACCUUUUAAAAAACAACAAUAUGACACCAACUUUAACUACUUUCUAAGAAGAAUUACUACAAUUUAAAUAAAGGAAAUUCUCCAUUUUUCCAUGACCCAGUUUGUUGCCAUCAAUUAUUUUUUGGAAAAAAAAUCAUUUACAUUAAAAAAUAAAUUUUUGAAAUUUUCUAUUUGUCAAUAGAUUUGAUCAAUAGAUCUGCAUCAACAUCAAUAGAAAACAUGUGACGUUUAAGAAGUGGAACAGCCAAAUUAAACAUGUUUGUUUAACAACUCAAUGACAACCUUUAACUAUUUUCUAACUUCCAUUAGCACAGUUUGAUUCAAUAAAAUUCUUUAUUUUGUCUCCACCAGUUGCCAUCAAUUAAUUUUUGUAAAAAAAAAUGAUCACCAAUUUUCAAAUAGUAUAUAAAAACAAUAUAAAAGCAGUGACAAACCUUCAAAACUAAAAGUAAAACACAUUUAUUAUACAACUAUUUAAGCAACAGUAUAUAAAAAUAUAUAUAAUUGCAGUUUGAUUGUGAAAGAUAGGUAGUUAUUAAUGACUGCAUCAACAAAUCCAUGAACCAUCAACGGACUCAACAUAUGAUUUAAAAACUCAAAAACAAUUGUAAUUUUAGAUAUUAGUUUUUACUUUGUAGCCCCAACUUAGUAUUGUAAUAUUUAGUCUAAUUUAAUUCAAUUGUUAGUUUAAUACUAAUUGUCUUUUAGUCAACUUCAGAUUUCUAUGCUUAAAUUUUGUAAAUUUCAUUAAUACACCUUAAAACUUUUUUAUCACCAGCUCUGUCACUUUUCACAACGUUUUUAUGUAGCAAAUUGUAAAGCCUUUUAGCUUAAAUAUAUCACUAAAGUAGAUCUAGAGAAACACCGUGUUUACAACUAAAUCCAAUAUUUAACUUAACUAAUUUUUAUAGCGGUUCAACCACACAACACCAUUAUUGUCAACCUCUAUUAUAACAACAACCGAUCUUAUUGAUUCCAUUUCAAGCUUUUAGAUCAGUUUAAUAAGGGUGUAGAUACCAAAAAACAUAUUGCGGAACGACAAUUUUAAAAAGUUGUAAUAAACCAUUAUCUCUAGGUCUACUUUAAAAUCCAGUUGUUUUAUACAUAUUUAAUAUCUAUUCCAAUUCAAUAGAAAUAGCAACACCGCAUUUUCUCUCAAAAUUAGUUGUUAUAAAUUGUU